rnacentral:lncRNA from 1 species
UUAUGUGUGGCACUUUUAAAAAGUGAUAGGUUAAUCUAUAAGGACCUAUUAGUGCAUGUUAUGAAAAUAAUGGGCUUGCAUGUCAAAUUUCCACCUAUGACAAGUAGUGGCCGGCCAUGCUAUGGGUUAAAGCCUAUUAUAAACAUUUUUGUGUUAGUGAUUUAUGUUAGAAAUAAUAAAAUAAAAGGUUAGUAAUAAAGUAAUAAAAAGGGAGGGGUGAUGAAAACAAAGUUGUAUCAUUCUUGCUCCCCCUAUUGCCGUGACUUGAGGAAGGAAGAAGAAGAGGAUUUUCUUGCUUCAUGAUGGGUUGGUUGAUGUUUAGGAAGAGGUAUGUUAAUGCUCUUUCAUUGAAAGUCUUUGUAUAUUUGGAGUGGUCAUCAAGUAUAGAAGCUAACUCAUGACAAAUGUUUUUGUAAAUUUAUGAAGAUGACAUUCGGUCAUGGAUGUUUGUAUUUCUUUGAUGUUGUUUUUGAUGCUUAGGUGUAUUGAGGGUUGAUUAUAGAUGAGUUGAGCUUGGUAAAAUUGAAUAUUUGUGGCUUAAUUGCUUAAUGACAAUUGGCUAUGUUGAAAUGCCAAAUUAGUGCUA